AACGAACGCUGGCGGCAUGCCUAACACAUGCAAGUCGAACGAGACCUUCGGGUCUAGUGGCGCACGGGUGCGUAACGCGUGGGAACCUGCCCUUAGGUUCGGAAUAACUCCCCGAAAGGGGUGCUAAUACCCGAUAAUGUCUUCGGACCAAAGAUUUAUCGCCUUUGGAUGGGCCCGCGUUGGAUUAGCUAGUUGGUAGGGUAAAAGCCUACCAAGGCGACGAUCCAUAGCUGGUCUGAGAGGAUGAUCAGCCACACUGGGACUGAGACACGGCCCAGACUCCUACGGGAGGCAGCAGUGGGGAAUAUUGGACAAUGGGCGAAAGCCUGAUCCAGCAAUGCCGCGUGAGUGAUGAAGGCCUUAGGGUUGUAAAGCUCUUUUACCCGGGACGAUAAUGACAGUACCGGGAGAAUAAGCGCCGGCUAACUCCGUG
rnacentral:rRNA from 1 species